rnacentral:rRNA from 1 species
CCUACGGGAGGCAGCAGUGAGGAAUAUUGGUCAAUGGACGAGAGUCUGAACCAGCCAAGUAGCGUGAAGGAUGACUGCCCUAUGGGUUGUAAACUUCUUUUAUAAAGGAAUAAAACGAGGCACGUGUGCCUGUUUGCAUGUACUUUAUGAAUAAGGAUCGGCUAACUCCGUGCCAGCAGCCGCGGUAAUACGGAGGAUCCGAGCGUUAUCCGGAUUUAUUGGGUUUAACGGGAGCGUAGAUGGGUUGUUAAGUCAGGUGUGAAAGUUUGGGGCUCAACCGUAAAAUUGCAAUGGAUACUGGCAGUCUUGAGGACAGGUGAGGUAGGCGGAAUUCGUGGUGUAGCGGUGAAAUGCUUAGAUAUCACGAAGAACCCCGAUGGCGAAGGCAGCUUACUAAACUGUGACUGACAUUGAGGCUCGAAAGUGUGGGUAUCAAACAGGAUUAGAUACCCCAGUAGUC